CAGUAGCCACGGGAAUACGUAGGGGACAAGCGUUGUCCGGAAUUAUUGGGCGUAAAGGGCUCGCAGGCGGUUUCUUAAGUCUGAUGUGAAGGCCCCCGGCUCAACCGGGGAGGGUCAUUGGAAACUGGGAAACUUGAGUGCAGAAGAGGAGAGUGGAAUUCCACGUGUAGCGGUGAAAUGCGUAGAGAUGUGGAGGAACACCAGUGGCGAAGGCGACUCUCUGGUCUGUAACUGACGCUGAGGAGCGAAAGCGGGGGGAGCGAGCAGGAUUAGAUACCCCCGUAGUCCCUGUCUCUUAUAC
rnacentral:rRNA from 1 species